rnacentral:ncRNA from 2 species
UGCGCUCAACUUGCUGCAAGUUGAGCUUAGGCUUAGGGAAGCUGGUGAGAAUCCAGCACUGCCCCCGCAACGGUAAAAUGAACCGCAUAUCUUUAUAAAUAUCUUCAAUACAUGAAGGGAUUUACACCACUGCAUUUUUGCGGGAAGGUGGAUAUGCCAAUAUUGUUUUAAGCAAUAUUUAUAUUUAAGUCCGGAUACCUGCUUGCUGCGUUCUUCAACU